rnacentral:rRNA from 1 species
GACGAACGCUGGCGGCGUGCUUAACACAUGCAAGUCGAACGGAAAGGCCCUGCUUUUGUGGGGUGCUCGAGUGGCGAACGGGUGAGUAACACGUGAGUAACCUGCCCUUGACUUUGGGAUAACUUCAGGAAACUGGGGCUAAUACCGGAUAGGAGCUCCUGCUGCAUGGUGGGGGUUGGAAAGUUUCGGCGGUUGGGGAUGGACUCGCGGCUUAUCAGCUUGUUGGUGGGGUAGUGGCUUACCAAGGCUUUGACGGGUAGCCGGCCUGAGAGGGUGACCGGCCAAAUUGGGACUGGGAUACGGCCCAGAAUCCUACGGGAGGCAGCAGUGGGGAAUAUUGCACAAUGGGCGGAAGCCUGAUGCAGCAACGCCGCGUGCGGGAUGACGGCCUUCGGGUUGUAAACCGCUUUCGCCUGUGACGAAGCGUGAGUGACGGUAAUGGGUAAAGAAGCACCGGCUAACUACGUG